GUCUAUGGACAUAUGACCCUGAAUGUGCCCCAGCUCCUCUCACAUUGGUAGCUAAGCAGGGUCAGGCCUGGUUAGUACUUGGAUGGCAGGCCAUCUGGGAAUAGCAGGUGCCAUAGGCU
ensembl:rRNA 5S_rRNA 5S ribosomal RNA